CCUGUGGACCGUUAUACAAACGAAAGUAGUCUAAAGACCGAUACGUCUUUGAUAAAAUCGGACGGUAUGAAGCAGGAA
ncrna:unclassified sequences RAGATH-18 RNA